rnacentral:rRNA from 1 species
AUGGUUAAGUGACUAAGCGUAUACGGUGGAUGCCUUGGCAGUCAGAGGCGAUGAAGGACGUAGUAACUUGCGAAAAGCGUUGGCGAGCUAGUAACAAGCAUUUGAGCUAACGAUGUCCGAAUGGGGAAACCCACUCACAUAAGUGAGUAUCAUAUACUGAAUACAUAGGUAUAUGAGGCAAACCCGGGGAACUGAAACAUCUAAGUACCCGGAGGAACAGAAAUCAACCGAGAUUCCCCUAGUAGCGGCGAGCGAACGGGGAUUAGCCCUUAAGUCUAUGGGGUGUUAGUGGAAUGAGUUGGAAAGCUCAGCGGCACAGGGUGAUAGCCCCGUACAUGAAAACUAACCAUAGAUGAAAACGAGUAGGACGGGACACGUGACAUCUUGUCUGAACAUGGGGGGACCAUCCUCCAAGGCUAAAUACUCCUGACUGACCGAUAGUGAACCAGUACCGUGAGGGAAAGGCGAAAAGAACCCCUGUGAGGGGAGUGAAAUAGAACCUGAAACCGUAUACGUACAAGCAGUGGGAGCGGUUCCAUUCUUCGGAAUAAGAGACCGUGACUGCGUACCUUUUGUAUAAUGGGUCAGCGACUUACAUUUUGUAGCGAGGUUAAGCGAAUAGCGGAGCCGUAGGGAAACCGAGUGUUAACUGCGCGUAUCUUUAAUUAGAGAAGUUGCAAGGUGUAGACCCGAAACCCGGUGAUCUAUC